ACUAAUCCUAGCCCUAGCCCUACACAAAUAUAAUUAUACUAUUAUAUAAAUCAAAACAUUUAUCCUACUAAAAGUAUUGGAGAAAGAAAUUCGUACAUCUAGGAGCUAUAGAACUAGUACCGCAAGGGAAAGAUGAAAGACUAAUUAAAAGUAAGAACAAGCAAAGAUUAAACCUUGUACCUUUUGCAUAAUGAACUAACUAGAAAACUUCUAACUAAAAGAAUUACAGCUAGAAACCCCGAAACCAAACGAGCUACCUAAAAACAAUUUUAUGAAUCAACUCGUCUAUGUGGCAAAAUAGUGAGAAGAUUUUUAGGUAGAGGUGAAAAGCCUAACGAGCUUGGUGAUAGCUGGUUACCCAAAAAAUGAAUUUAAGUUCAAUUUUAAACUUGCUAAAAAAACAACAAAAUCAAAAAGUAAGUUUAGAUUAUAGCCAAAAGAGGGACAGCUCUUCUGGAACGGAAAAAACCUUUAAUAGUGAAUAAUUAACAAAACAGCUUUUAACCAUUGUAGGCCUAAAAGCAGCCACCAAUAAAGAAAGCGUUCAAGCUCAACAUAAAAUUUCAAUUAAUUCCAUAAUUUACACCAACUUCCUAAACUUAAAAUUGGGUUAAUCUAUAACUUUAUAGAUGCAACACUGUUAGUAUGAGUAACAAGAAUUCCAAUUCUCCAGACAUACGCGUAUAACAACUCGGAUAACCAUUGUUAGUUAAUCAGACUAUAGGCAAUAAUCACACUAUAAAUAAUCCACCUAUAACUUCUCUGUUAACCCAACACCGGAAUGCCUAAAGGAAAGAUCCAAAAAGAUAAAAGGAACUCGGCAAACAAGAACCCCGCCUGUUUACCAAAAACAUCACCUCUAGCAUUACAAGUAUUAGAGGCACUGCCUGCCCAGUGACUAAAGUUUAACGGCCGCGGUAUCCUGACCGUGCAAAGGUAGCAUAAUCACUUGUUCCUUAAUUAGGGACUAGCAUGAACGGCUAAACGAGGGUCCAACUGUCUCUUAUCUUUAAUCAGUGAAAUUGACCUUUCAGUGAAGAGGCUGAAAUAUAAUAAUAAGACGAGAAGACCCUAUGGAGCUUAAAUUAUAUAACUUAUCUAUUUAAUUUAUUAAACCUAAUGGCCCAAAAACUAUAGUAUAAGUUUGAAAUUUCGGUUGGGGUGACCUCGGAGAAUAAAAAAUCCUCCGAAUGAUUAUAACCUAGACUUACAAGUCAAAGUAAAAUCAACAUAUCUUAUUGACCCAGAUAUAUUUUGAUCAACGGACCAAGUUACCCUAGGGAUAACAGCGCAAUCCUAUUUAAGAGUUCAUAUCGACAAUUAGGGUUUACGACCUCGAUGUUGGAUCAGGACAUCCCAAUGGUGUAGAAGCUAUUAAUGGUUCGUUUGUUCAACGAUUAAAGUCCUACGUGAUCUGAGUUCAGACCGGAGCAAUCCAGGUCGGUUUCUAUCUAUUUACGAUUUCUCCCAGUACGAAAGGACAAGAGAAAUAGAGCCACCUUACAAAUAAGCGCUCUCAACUUAAUUUAUGAAUAAAAUCUAAAUAAAAUAUAUACGUACACCCUCUAACCUAGAGAAGGUU
rnacentral:rRNA from 1 species